ensembl:ncRNA Y94H6A.16 ncRNA
CAAUUUUUCCACUGGAACCACGCAAUUUUUCUGAAUUUUCGAAAUAAAAAUCCAAGUUUUUGCAAAAAUUUUCAAAUAUCCGCCUAAAAUUCUCCAAUCUUUUUUAUAAUAUGUUCUGUAAUUUAUCUCCACACAUAUACACACAAUUAAUUCUUCUUGCACAACUACUAUUUGUACAUUUUAAUCAUUUUUUUUUCUCAUUUUAAUCUCUCCCUCUCCACCACCUCGUUCGAUGGCAUUUUUUUUCCAACAAAUCGUGUAAUACCCCCAAAAAAUCUAAAAGUGCUUCUUCUUCUUCUUCUCCAUUAUUUGUAUUAUUACUGCUACUGGAUGUGUGCUGCUGCUCCCCCUACCCCCGCCAAAAACUUAAAGAUUUUCACUUAAAUUUCUUC